rnacentral:rRNA from 1 species
AGCGAAUGCUGGCGGCAGGCCUAACACAUGCCAGUCGAACGAACCUUUCGGGGUUAGUGGCGGACGGGUGAGUAACACGUGGGAACGUGCCUUUAGGUUCGGAAUAACUCAGGGAAACUUGUGCUAAUACCGAAUGUGCCCUUCGGGGGAAAGAUUUAUCGCCUUUAGAGCGGCCCGCGUCUGAUUAGCUAGUUGGUUGAGGUAAUGGCUCACCAAGGCGACGAUCAGUAGCUGGUCUGAGAGGAUGAUCAGCCACAUUGGGACUGAGACACGGCCCAAACUCCUACGGGAGGCAGCAGUGGGGAAUCUUGCGCAAUGGGCGAAAGCCUGACGCAGCCAUGCCGCGUGAAUGAUGAAGGUCUUAGGAUUGUAAAAUUCUUUCACCGGGGACGAUAAUGACGGUACCCGGAGAAGAAGCCCCGGCUAACUUCGUG